CCUACAGCGACUGGCUUCCAUCCCUGUCUCUGCUUUCUACAGUCUCUCGCAGAAGAAGAAUUUUGAACAUUUUCUGCGUUUCUGCUUUGCAAAGGAGGAUUCGACCUUGGAAGCUGCCGGGGACAUCUUGAAGGAAUGGAGCCAGGAAAGACAAAACCACUGACACAUCGAGAGAAGAGAGAAGCCGAGGCAGGCUUUGGGAACCGUUGGCCACCUGCCCUACGGGGAGACUGGUUUCCUGGGAAAUUUGCACACUGAUUUCCUUUCCUCCUCCCUCUGCGGGGUCUGUGAGGCCCCCGGCCAGCUGGUCUUCCGAGGUCUCAGCAAGAUGAUGGGGGCUGCCACUCAGCCCAGUGGCGAUACAGCUGUGUGUGUCAAAGAAUAUUCACACCCCUGAAGAUGCUGAAAACCUCCCAGGGGUUGCUACUUUCUCAGGGUGUAAAAGUUUUAAUUAAAAUUGCACUCCGUGCUGUUUUGUCUGCAAA